AUUGAACGCUGGCGGCAGGCCUAACACAUGCAAGUCGAACGGUAGCACAGAGAGCUUGCUCUUGGGUGACGAGUGGCGGACGGGUGAGUAAUGUCUGGGAAACUGCCUGAUGGAGGGGGAUAACUACUGGAAACGGUAGCUAAUACCGCAUAACGUCGCAAGACCAAAGAGGGGGACCUUCGGGCCUCUUGCCAUCAGAUGUGCCCAGAUGGGAUUAGCUAGUAGGUGGGGUAACGGCUCACCUAGGCGACGAUCCCUAGCUGGGCUGAGAGGAUGACCAGCCACACUGGAACUGAGACACGGUCCAGACUCCUACGGGAGGCAGCAGUGGGGAAUGUUGCACAAUGGGCGCAAGCCUGAUGCAGCCAUGCCGCGUGUAUGAAGAAGGCCUUCGGGUUGUAAAGUACUUUCAGCGAGGAGGAAGGCGAUACGGUUAAUAACCGUGUCGAUUGACGUUACUCGCAGAAGAAGCACCGGCUAACUCCGUGCCAGCCGCCGCCGUAA
rnacentral:rRNA from 1 species